UCGAGAAUCAUUCACAAUGGGGGAAACCCUGAUGGUGCGACGCCGCGUGGGGGAAUGAAGAUCUUCGGAUUGUAAACCCCUGUCAUGUGGGAGCAAAUUAAAAAGAUAGUACCACAAGAGGAAGAGACGGCUAACUCUGUGCCAGCAGCCGCGGUAAUACAGAGGUCUCAAGCGUUGUUCGGAAUCACUGGGCGUAAAGCGUGCGUAGGCUGUUUCGUAAGUCGUGUGUGAAAGGCGCGGGCUCAACCCGCGGACGGCACAUGAUACUGCGAGACUAGAGUAAUGGAGGGGGAACCGGAAUUCUCGGUGUAGCAGUGAAAUGCGUAGAUAUCGAGAGGAACACUCGUGGCGAAGGCGGGUUCCUGGACAUUAACUGACGCUGAGGCACGAAGGCCAGGGGAGCGAAAG
rnacentral:rRNA from 1 species